UUUUUAGUAGAGGCAGAGUUUCACUAUGUUGGCCAGGCUGAUCUUGAACUCCUGACCUCGUGAUCUGCCCGCCUCGGCCUCCCAAAGUGGUGAGAUUACAGGCAUGAGCCACCACGCCUGGCUUGGUUAGGUUUUAAAAUGUGGAAUGACAUGAUGGCAUACCAUUGGACCUGUCACCUGCAAGGUCAGUCAUGAAUAGUCUGCAAAUCUUCACAUUUAGUGGCCUGUUUUCAGUCUACUGAAAUUAGGAUUCUUCUCCUUGAGGACCAAUGCAUUUGACCAUCUUGUUCUCCUUGACACUCUCCUGCCUUUGAUCUUUUAUACCGUUCUCUCUUGAUUCUCCUACUACCUCUCAAGUUACUGUUUGUCUUGCAUCUUCCCUCAGCCUUCUCAUUGUAGGGACAUCACAAAGCUAAGUGUCUUUUUGUUGUAGUAAUGGACCCUCAGGUUAAGGAUGAGAAGGUUUGUGUGUACUACAGCUGGAAAGGCGUUAGGAACCAAGCAAGCAGUUCUAGGGGCUAGCUACUUUGUCUCUCUCAUGCCCCACACGGUAUGUCCCUUUCCUGGUCUUUCUGCUUCUAUCAUUCUUCCUUCUGGCUGGCUUAUUUGCUCACUUACAGUUUACAGACUAACUUAUGAAUGACGUCAAUUUACCAUUGCCCUGAUUCUUCCUCGUGACAUCUUUUCAGCUUCAACUAAUUUUGCAUUUCUUUCCGUGCUUCUUUGCCUAGAGAGAGAAUCUGACUAGCACAACUGAUCACUUGUAGGUAAAUGACACUGGUUUGUGGUUGGCUCCUAUAUAGAUGGAUCGUUGGUGAGUCCAGUACAUACUCUGGAUCUGAUCAGUUUUUAUAUUGACUUAGGGAUGUGCCUAUGGCUUCCCCUUUGGCAGGGACUGUAAGCGGGGCAACUCUCUUUAGAGGGGGCUGUGGGAUGUCCAAAACAACAACAACACAACAAACACCCCCCCCACACCCAAACAAACAAAAAAAGCAUCUUUUAUUGUUAAAGAGGAAAAAAGAAAUUUAAAAAUAAAAGAAAUAGAGGGGGCUGUGGGAGAACAGGCGUUGCAAAAUACAUCUCUGCUUUCUUUCUGUAUUCUGAGUUUCAAUAUUUCAUGACUUUCUAAUCUACACUCAUUUCUCUUCAGAGGUUUUGCUUUGCAUCUUCUAGCUAACUGUGUAGUUAACAUAUCCACCUGGAUGUCUCUCUGUCACCUCAAAGUUAGUGAGUUUAAAAAUGAGGCCGGGCACAGUGGCUUACGCCUGUAAUCCCAACACUUUAGGAAGCCAAGGUGUGCGAAUCACUUGAGGUCAGGAGUUCAAGACCAGCCUGGCAAACAAGGUGAAACCCCAUCGUUACUAAAAAUGUAAAAACUAGCUGGGUGUGGUGGCAUGCACCUGUAAUCCCAACUGCUCGGGAGGCUGAGGCAGGAGAAUUGCUUAAACCUGGGAAGUGGAGAUUGCAGUUAGCCGAGAUUGUGCCACAGCACUCCAGCCUUGGCGACAGAGCGAGACAUCGUCUCAAAAAUAAUAAUAAUAAUAAUUAAGUCCCCUUCUUUUCCCCAAAACCAGUUCUCAUUUUGUUUCAGGUAGCUAAGUAUUCUUAGUCUCAAAGCUUCCUUUAUAAUCCUGUUUUCCUGUUUCCUUUCUUUCUAUAUCUGAUUGGUUGCCAGCAUACCUUGUUUUCCUUUAUAAACAUCCUCUCUACUCAUGUUGAUACUGCCUUUAUCCUGGCCUUUUGCGCCACAUACUUGGGUUUGCCACAGUCUCUUCGCUUACCUCCUUGUUCCGUUUAUCUCCUUCACCAGCAGCACAUCUCCAUGAAUGCUGCCAGGGUCAUCUUUAUGCCCUAUUUUAUCAUGACUAUUAACUCUGACUAAUAUUUCUUUAAAGUUGGUUGUAGAUGUUUACUAUAAAUAUUUCUCUGUGACAUUAACAGGUGUGGUAAGGUCGUUGUCGACAUUGUAUUCCCAGUAAUUUAGAAUUUUUUUCUAUCUCUGAUAAUGAAGGAAUAAUGAUAGAGUAGGUAAAUUCCAACAUUAACAACAACAAGAAAAUAGUGAACUAGAUUUUGAUAUAUUAACACGGAAUGUUCUUCCAGCUAUAUUGUUAAGCCAACAAGGUAUAUGUAACGUACAAGUAUAUGCAUGUAAAUGCACUAAAAGAAAAGAUUUGUAAGUGUAUGCACCAAAUAAACAGACUUUACCUCUCAGAAGAAAAUAGUGUGGUAGGCGAAAGCAUAAAGAGGGAACUUUAGUUUUUACUCUCCAUAGUUUAGUAUUAUUUACUUUUUAAAAAAACCACAGGCACGUAUUUAUAUUUUAUUCUUUAAUUUAAGAAACCUAAAGGGUUUCCUUGGUGAAGAAUGUGAAACACACACACACACAAGUUGGGCACAGAGUAGUCUUGAAAGACAUGACAAUAUCACCAGACUUUAGAAGAAGCUAAAGAGCCAGAGGGAAAAAGUCAGAAGUCGACUACCUGGGAGGAGGGAUAGACAAGAGACCAAACUAAAGGAAACUAAGUGUGGAUCCAGCUUGUCCCCAAAGCUUGCCUUGCUUCGAAGCAUCCGACGGUAAAGAAUCUUCACCUAUGCCUGUGAUUUGUGGGCCUGAAGAAAACUAUCCAUCCUUGCAAAUGUCUUCUGCUGAGAUGCCUCACAUGGAGAUUGUCUCUCCUCUUCCUUCCUCCAUGGAUCUGCUUAUUCAGGAGAGCCCCGAUUCUUCCACCAGUCCCAAAGGCAAACAACCUACUGCUGCAGAGAAUAGUGCCACAAAAAAGGAAGACAAGGUCCCCGUCAAGAAACAGAAGGCCAGAACUGUGUUCUCUUCCGCCCAGCUUUGUGUACUCAAUGAUAGAUUUCAGAGACAGAGAUACCUCAGCCUCCAGCAGAUGCAAGAACUUUCCAACAUCCUGAACCUCCGCUACAAACAGGUGAAGACCUAGUUCCAGAACCAGAGAAUGAAAUCUAAGAAGUGGCUGAAAAACAACUGGCCAAAGAAUACCAAUGGUGUGACUCAGAAGGCCUCAGCACCUACCUACCCCAGCCUCUACUCUUCCUACCACCAGGGAUGCCUGGUGAACCCGACUGGGAACCUUCCGAUGUGGAGCAACCAGACCUGCAACAGUUCAUCCUGGAGCAACCAGACCCAGAAUGUCCCACCCUGGAGCAACCACUCCUGGAACACUCAGACCUGGUGCACCCAGUCCUGGAACAAUCAGGCCUGGAACAGUGCCUUCUAUGACUUUGAAGAGGAAUCUCUGCAGUCCUGCUUGCAGUUCCAGCCAAAUUCUCCUGCCAGUGACUUGGAGGCUGCCUUGGAAGCUGCUGGGGAAGGCCUUAAUGUAAUACAGCAGACGACUAGGUAUUUUAGUACUCCACAAACCAUGGAUUUAUUCCUAAACUACUCCACGAACGUGCAACCUGAAGAUAUGUGAAGAUGAGUAAAAUUGAUAUUACUCAAUUUCAGUCUGGGCACUGGCUGAACCUUCCUCUCCCCUCCUCCCCUCCCUGAUAGGAUUUUUCUUGUUUGGAAACCACGUGUUCCGGUUUCCAUUAUGUCUAUCCAGUCAAUUUGAUGGAGGGUGGAGUAUGGUUGGAGCCUAAUCAGAGAGGUUUCUUUUUUUCCUAUUGGAUCUUCCUGGAGAAAAGACAUUUUAAUAACUUUGGCUGCUAAGGACAACAUGAUAAAAGCUGUCUCUGGCUAUAGAUAAGUAGAUCUAAUACUAGUUUGGAUAUCUUUAGGGUUUAGAAUCUAACCUCAAGAAUAAGAAAUACAAGUACAAAUUGGUGUGAUGAAGAUACUCCUAUUGUUUGGGAUUGGGAGGCUUUGCUUAUUUUUUAAAAACCAUUGAGGUAAACGGUUAAUUGAUUUCCUCACCCUUUUUGGCUCAGUUGUACUAUAUCCCCUAAUUUGUUGGUUAUGCUAAUCUUUGUAGAAAGAGGUCUUAUAUUUGCUGCAUCAUAAUGACAUUAGUACUACUUUAGUCAAUUUAAGUACAAAUAAAUCAAACAACUGUUUUUCCUUUAGUUGAUUUUACCCUUAUUUUACAUAGUGUUUCAAUGAGUAAAUAUGCAGCUUAAACAUUAAAAAAAAGAAAAGAAAAAGAAAAGAAACCUAAAGGAAGUUUGCUUUUUUGAGAUUAAAAAGUAUUUAGGCAUGUGGGUUUUUGCAGAAUAGCAAGUCACCAUCCAAGGGCCCUUUAUUUCCACAUAGAAAGGUAAGAACAUCAAGCUAUGUGAAGAGUGAACAAUAUCAGUCAUUGCAACUUCUAAUAUUAAGGGUAGAUUUGCAUGUAAAUUUGGUUACUUCUAAUGAUAUAGGUUGUCAAACACUUAAUAAAAAUGAACUAUUUUGUUAAUGGCAUAAAUUCCCUCAUCAUUGGAUAUAAGCUUUAUCUUAAAUAUUAUGUAGAAACUUACAAAUGCUAGUCAGUUUCUUAGCCUUUUUUUGAAAAAAAUUUAAAGUGGUUUAGUAAAUGGUAAAUGCAGGUUGGCAUUAAUGAUGUAAUAAUUCUUAAAAUGACUGUCUUAAAAGAUGUAAAAGUAGGCCGGGCAUGGUGGCUCACGUCUGUAAUCCCAGCAGUUUGGGAGGCUGAGGCGGGCACGUCACCUAAGGUCAGGAGUUUGAGACC